GCCCCCGAGUCAUGGCUCCAUUUCUAAGCCCAUCCGAUCCGAGAUUAAUUUACGAGCCAGAGAAUGAGUGAAUUUAUCCCAGCCAUGGGGGAGAAGGUUACCGAUGGCGUGGGAUUGGGAGAAAGGAAAAGAAAAGGUAGGGGAGUUGAUUUGCGAGGAUGAUGAGGGAGGGAGAGAAGCAAACGUAGAAUGUCAAAUGCUCCAAACGUAAACAAACCCGGCGGCAGCGGAGCGGCAAAAGCAACCCCCGCUCUGCAAACCCAACAACACCUCCCCCACCAUUUUUUUUUUAAACUGUUGGAAUUAUUCUAAUUCAUUUCUCAUGAACUCUCUCCCGAAUUAAGAAACUCGAUAAUUUCCC